rfam:Ictidomys tridecemlineatus contig013301, whole genome shotgun sequence.
AGGGGUGCAGUUCAGUGGUAGAGCACUUGCCUGUCAUGCAUGAGGCCCUGGGUCCCAUCCCCAGCACUGCAG